rnacentral:rRNA from 1 species
AGAGUUGAUCCUGGCUCAGAUUGAACGCUGGCGGCAUGCCUUACACAUGCAAGUCGAACGGUAACGCGGGGGCAACCCUGGCGACGAGUGGCGAACGGGUGAGUAAUACAUCGGAACAUAUCCAGUAGCGGGGGAUAACCUAUCGAAAGAUGGACUAAUACCGCAUACGAUCUACGGAUGAAAGCAGGGGACCGCAAGGCCUUGCACUAUUGGAGUGGCCGAUGUCGGAUUAGCUAGUUGGUGAGGUAAAGGCUUACCAAGGCGACGAUCCGUAGCUGGUCUGAGAGGACGAUCAGCCACACUGGAACUGAGACACGGUCCAGACUCCUACGGGAGGCAGCAGUGGGGAAUUUUGGACAAUGGGCGCAAGCCUGAUCCAGCCAUGCCGCGUGAGUGAAGAAGGCCUUCGGGUUGUAAAGCUCUUUCGGUGAAGACGAAACGGUUAGCGCUAAUAACGCUGACUAAUGACGGUACUCACAGAAGAAGCACCGGCUAACUACGUGCCAGCAGCCGCGGUAAUACGUAGGGUGCAGGCGUUAAUCGGAAUUACUGGGCGUAAAGCGUGCGCAGGCGGUUUGCUAAGACAGGUGUGAAAUCCCCGAGCUUAACUUGGGAAUUGCGCUUGUAACUGGCAAGCUAGAGUGUGGCAGAGGGGGGUGGAAUUCCACGUGUAGCAGUGAAAUGCGUAGAUAUGUGGAGGAACACCGAUGGCGAAGGCAGCCCCCUGGGUUAACACUGACGCUCAUGCACGAAAGCGUGGGGAGCAAACAGGAUUAGAUACCCUGGUAGUCACGCCCUAAACUAUGUCAACUAGUUGUCGGGGAAGAAAUUCCUUGGUAACGAAGCUAACGCGUGAAGUUGACCGCCUGGGGAGUACGGCCGCAAGGUUAAAACUCAAAGGGAUUGACGGGGACCCGCACAAGCGGUGGAUUAUGUGGAUUAAUUCGAUGCAACGCGAAAAACCUUACCUACCCUUGACAUGCUAGGAAGCCCGCAGAGAUGUGGGUGUGCCCGAAAGGGAACCUAGACACAGGUGCUGCAUGGCUGUCGUCAGCUCGUGUCGUGAGAUGUUGGGUUAAGUCCCGCAACGAGCGCAACCCUUGCCAUUAGUUGCUACAUUCAGUUGGGCACUCUAAUGGGACCGCCGGUGACAAACCGGAGGAAGGUGGGGAUGACGUCAAGUCCUCAUGGCCCUUAUGGGUAGGGCUUCACACGUAAUACAAUGGUCGGUACAGAGGGCUGCCAACCCGCAAGGGGGAGCUAAUCCCAGAAAGCCGAUCGUAGUCCGGAUUGUAGUCUGCAACUCGACUGCAUGAAGCCGGAAUCGCUAGUAAUCGCGGAUCAGCAUGUCGCGGUGAAUACGUUCCCGGGUCUUGUACACACCGCCCGUCACACCAUGGGAGUGGGUUCCACCAGAAGUAGUUAGCCUAACCGCAAGGAGGGCGAUUACCACGGUGAGAUUCAUGACUGGGGUGAAGUCGUAACAAGGUA